CUUGGUCAUUUAGAGGAAGUAAAAGUCGUAACAAGGUUUCCGUAGGUGAACCUGCGGAAGGAUCAUCCAUAACGAGUGUUUAUGGCACUCUAAAAAUCCAUACCCACCUUGUGUGCAGCGUUAAGAGUCUUUUGUCUCUCUUUCAGAGGGCACGAGAUUUCUUUUAAUUAAUCUACCUUAAACCAGUUUGUCUGAAGCAUUGUAUCAUGAAUAAACAUAAUUCAAAAUACAACUUUCAACAACGGAUCUCUUGGCUCUCGCAUCGAUGAAGAACGCAGCGAAAUGCGAUACGUAAUGUGAAUUGCAGAAUUCAGUGAAUCAUCGAAUCUUUGAACGCAUAUUGCGCUCUUUGGUAUUCCGAAGAGCAUGCUUGUUUGAGUAUCAGUAAACACCUCAAAGCCUUUUUUUGUUAAGAGGCCUUGGACUUGAGCAAUCCCAACACUUUUCCUCCAAGAAAAGUGGCGGGUUGCUUGAAAUGCAGGUGCAGCUGGACAUUCUCCUGAGCUAAAAGCAUAUUCAUUUAGUCCCGUCAAACGGAUUAUUACUUUUGCUGCAGCUAACAUAAAGGGAGUUUGACCAUUUUGGCUGACUGAUGCAGGAUUUUCACAAGAGUCUUCAAAAGCUUUUGUUAAACUCGAUCUCAAAUCAAGUAAGACUACCCGCUGAACUUAAGCAUAUCAAUAAGCGGAGGA
rnacentral:rRNA from 1 species